GACGAACCGUGCGAACGUUGUUCGGAUUCACUGGGCUUAAAGGGCGCGUAGGCGGGUGACCAAGUCAGGGGUGAAAUCUUUCGGCUCAACCGGAAAAGUGCCUUUGAUACUGGUUAUCUCGAGGGAGGUAGGGGCAUGUGGAACUUCCGGUGGAGCGGUGAAAUGCGUAGAUAUCGGAAGGAACGCCGGUGGCGAAAGCGACGUGCUGGACCUUUUCUGACGCUGAGGCGCGAAAGCCAGGGGAGCAAACGG
rnacentral:rRNA from 1 species